UACGUAGGGUGCAAGCGUUGUCCAGAAUUAUUGGGCGUAAAGAGCUCGUAGGCGGUUUGUCGCGUCUGCUGUGAAAACUCGGGGCUUAACCCCGGGCCUGCAGUGGGUACGGGCAGACUAGAGUGCGGUAGGGGAGACUGGAAUUCCUGGUGUAGCGGUGAAAUGCGCAGAUAUCAGGAGGAACACCGGUGGCGAAGGCGGGUCUCUGGGCCGUAACUGACGCUGAGGAGCGAAAGCGUGGGGAGCGAACAGG
rnacentral:rRNA from 1 species